rnacentral:rRNA from 1 species
AUUGAACGCUGGCGGCAGGCCUAACACAUGCAAGUCGAGCGGAGCGGCGGACGGGUGAGUACUACCUAGGAAUUUGCCUGGGGGUGGCGGAUAACGUUCGGAAACGGACGCUAAUACCGCAUACUAUCAGAUGAGCCUAGGUCGGCUUAGCUAGUUGGUGAGGGAAUGGCUCACCAAGGCUACGAUGCGUAACUGGUCUGAGAGGAUGAUCAGUCACACUGGAACUGAGACACGGUCCAGACUCCUACGGGAGGCAGCAGUGGGGAAUAUUGGACAAUGGGCGAAAGCCUGAUCCAGCCAUGCCGCGUGUGUGAAGAAGGUCUUCGGAUUGUAAAGCACUGUAAGUUGGGAGGCGUUACCGAAAGAAUAAGCCCCGGCUAACUCUGUGCCAGCAGCCGCGGUAAUAC